rnacentral:rRNA from 1 species
GGCGAGUGAGCGGCCAAGCUCAAUUUGAAUCUGGCACCUUCGGUGUCCGAGUUGUAAUUUGAAGAAGGUAACUUUGGAGUUGGCUCUUGUCUAUGUUCCUUGGAACAGGACGUCACAGAGGGUGAGAAUCCCGUGCGAUGAGAUGCCCAAUUCUAUGUAAAGUGCUUUCGAAGAGUCGAGUUGUUUGGGAAUGCAGCUCUAAGUGGGUGGUAAAUUCCAUCUAAAGCUAAAUAUUGGCGAGAGACCGAUAGCGAACAAGUACAGUGAUGGAAAGAUGAAAAGAACUUUGAAAAGAGAGUGAAAAAGUACGUGAAAUUGUUGAAAGGGAAGGGCUUGAGAUCAGACUUGGUAUUUUGCGAUCCUUUCCUUCUUGGUUGGGUUCCUCGCAGCUUACUGGGCCAGCAUCGGUUUGGAUGGUAGGAUAAUGACUAAGGAAUGUGGCUCUACUUCGGUGGAGUGUUAUAGCCUUGGUUGAUACUGCCUGUCUAGACCGAGGACUGCGUC